rnacentral:rRNA from 1 species
GCUUAUGGCCACACUAGUGUGAACGUGCCCAAUCUCGUCUGAUCUUGGAAGCUAAACACGCUCUGGCUUGGCCAGUAGUUGGAUGGGAGACCACCUGGAAACCCUGAGGGCUAUAAGCU